GAUGAACGCUGGCGGCGUGCCUAAUACAUGCAAGUCGAGCGAACAGAUGAGGAGCUUGCUCCUCUGACGUUAGCGGCGGACGGGUGAGUAACACGUGGAUAACCUACCUAUAAGACUGGGAUAACUUCGGGAAACCGGAGCUAAUACCGGAUAAUAUAUUGAACCGCAUGGUUCAAUAGUGAAAGACGGUUUUGCUGUCACUUAUAGAUGGAUCCGCGCCGCAUUAGCUAGUUGGUAAGGUAACGGCUUACCAAGGCAACGAUACGUAGCCGACCUGAGAGGGUGAUCGGCCACACUGGAACUGAGACACGGUCCAGACUCCUACGGGAGGCAGCAGUAGGGAAUCUUCCGCAAAGGGCGAAAGCCUGACGGAGCAACGCCGCGUGAGUGAUGAAGGUCUUCGGAUCGUAAAACUCUGUUAUUAGGGAAGAACAAAUGUGUAAGUAACUAUGCACGUCUUGACGGUACCUAAUCAGAAAGCCACGGCUAACUACGUG
rnacentral:rRNA from 1 species